GCCGGGGUGGGGUAGUCUGGUUAUCCUGUAGGCCUGUGGAGCCCGAGACCCGAGUUCAAAUCUCGGUCCCGGCC
rnacentral:tRNA from 1 species